UCUGUCUGCACAGACACUCCGUGCUGGGAGGAGGACACCCUGCCACGCUGCUGGAGGGAAGAAGAAGACAUCUUCCCUCCCUUUCUGGCACUAAUGGCGUUCGCAGCAAAGGUGGUGCUGUGGUUGCAGAUACAGGGUAACCACUGGCUCCCUUUACCCAGAUCCCAAGAAUCCUGAAGUCAUUAUUAUGUAAGUUCUGCUCUUAGAUGCCCUUGGACGCUGCUCUGCUGCACAAACACAGGGGGCAGUCUGGCCGAGGCCUGUGAUGGAGGCCCUAGAAGUCUUCAAACCCUGAAGUAGCUCCUCCGAAUGACCAGCUCAGUGGCGUGUGACCAGGGUCAGCAGCCAGGAUAUGGGGACAGAGACCACUGAGGCUUCUGAAAAGUGCAGAGGGCUGGUCAAGGUGAGCCUGGGCAUGCAGGCACCCAGCUUUGAAGACAUAAUCCUAUGGUCUAAAUGUUUGUGUUCUCCCAAAUUCAGACCUUGAAGUGCUAACUCCCAAUAUGAUGGCAUUUGGAGAUGGGGUCUUUGGCAGGUACUGAGGACACUGAGUUGUGUCCUCACGAUGGGAUUAGUGCACUCAUAAGAAGAGAGCAUCUGCUCUCCAUCGCUGUCAUAGGAGGACACAGGAAGGUGAUGGCCUAUGAAACAGAAGGAGGGCUCUCAGACUUCCUGGUCUGAUCUCAGA